UGUCCAUUCAUGUUUCAUCUCGUCGAAGGCGGUUGUGUGCGGAGCGGAGUUUUGGUUUUCCGCUGGUUUUUCGUAAAAAACAAAAACAAUAACAAAUCACCAGUAUGUCUCGUUAAAAUAAGUAAUCCACAAAAUUAAAAAUCAAGAAAGUUCAAGUGCUCUCAGAAGUGUAAAAAGCUAAAUUUAUUAAAAUAAGAAAGAAGUGGAUGAAAAGGAACGGAAAACGAACGAACAGUCGGUUGCGGAGCGGAAAAAAAAACAGCAGUAACAACAACAAAAACGGCGGCGGGGCGAUUAAACAAAACGCCGCCAAAACACACACAGCAAAAGAAAAAAAUAUUGUUAUUAUUAUCUGUGAAAUAAAAAGAAGGCAAGUUCCCCUCUUUCUCUCUCCCUCGCUUCAAUACCCCCCUCGCGUCUGUGUGUGAGCGCCUAUGUGCAGCGGUCUAUCUGUGUGUAUGUGUGUGCGGGCGCGAGUGCGUUUGUGUGUGGAAAUGCAUUAAUUACACCAAUACCAAGGCAGAUGCAGCAGCAACGGCUACAACAAAAUAGUUAAUAUAAAAAUACACAAAAUAAAAUACAAUAAAAAAAGGAAAAAAUACAAACAAAAACAUAAAAACAAAGGCAGCCAACAAAAAUGAUAAAAAUUUAAUUUUUUUAUUGUUUCCAAUUGAUUUUUGUGAUGCUUUUCCUGCCGAAUGAAAUUCGAAAAGGGAUUAGGCAACCAAAAAAUCACAACAGCAACAUAAACAACCACUACUAAAUUUUCCAAUAAAUCAAAAUCGGUAAACUUUUUGGACUCGGGUCGGUUUUAAAUCGGUUUUUUCGAACCACAGAACUUGGAACGCGACGCGUCGUUUAUCUGGCUUAUUUUUUGAAGAUUUUCGAAAAAGAAAAGCCAUCGAAAAUGCGAAACUUUCGAAUACAGUCCAAUACGGUUUUUAAUUAAAUUAAAGAAAGCCAGCGAAGAAAGGAUCCGCGACGAUCAUCGGUCUGGAAAAACAUCUUCAAAUGGUCUCACAACGCAAAUGUUCAAGAAGUGAAGCAAAUAAAGCAGAAGAAAUCUGAAAAAUAUAGUUUAAAAAAAGUAUCUGCUUAAAAUAUCCAAAACAAAGCCAACUAUCCAAAAUAUAUAUAAUUAAAUAUAUAUAUAAAUAUAUAUAAUGUGCGUAAUGUUUAAUAAAAAGAAGAAGGGGGCCCCACCCUCCUACAGGCGCUAAGUAAAAUACGUGGCAUUCGAUCGCGAUCGCGCAAUGCUAAUCCUAAAUCGAUGUGGAUUCUGUGCUGUGAGUGUUCCGUUGUCGAAACAUGGUACGCGACAGUAGCCGUAACAUUUGUUUUGGAAAAUUAGCCGAAACUACGACGACGACGCCGCACCUCCAACAACACCUUCAACAUCAGCAGCAACAACAACAAUUCGUUGUGGAUAGCAGCAGCAACAAUAUUAACAAUAACAACAAUAAUAAUAACAACAACAAUAUUAAUAACAAUAAUCAGAAAUUGAAAAGGUAUGUGUCGUAAUGCAGCCAAAAAUAAUGUACAUGAAUUAUUACAAUUGGUAAAUAUGAGCAAACAGAUUUUAUAUCUGUGUACGUACUUAUUGUGGUUAUAUUUGUGUGUGCGCCAGUUUUUCAUGGGCCAAAUGAAUUUUUCAAUAAUUUUCUAGCUAACUCUUCUUGCCUCCCUAAGCUCCUCGAAGCCAAAAUGCAUUUGUUGAUUUACCAAAAAACUGCCAAAAUGCAUUCGAGGAGGGAAAUAUGCUUUUAUGUUGUUUAUGACCAGGCUAUAUACUAUAUUAUAUAUAUAUUUUUCGUUUUUGUUUGAAUACUUUUGGCUCGCAUUUUUAUGAUCGAUGCCAAAAAGGGAUUUUAAAGCUUUUUUCUUUUUUGUUGUUCUUUUGAAUAAUGUGUGGCAUGUUUUGGUCUUAAAUAGGAUUACAAAUAGCAACGAUGUUUGUCUGCUGUAUAUCUUGAAGCUAAGUAAUUGAAAAAGCUAAUUUUGAGAGAAACAAUAAUAUAUUUUUAAUAAAAAUAUGUAGAAAAUAGUAUGGAAAAUAUAGGAAAUAUCUACAUUACCAUAUAAAAGUCUACAUUACAAAAAACACCUGAUUUUUCGUUUAUUUUCCCUAUUUUUCUAUUUUCCAGUUGAGCAUUUUAGCUUUUGUCUUAGGUCCAAAAACAUUUGAACGUUGUGCUGAUACUGUAUCUGUAUCUGUGGCAUUUAUGAGUUUAUUUUGGCUAAUACCGCCGUCUAUAGAUAAGAUCUUUUGGUUGAUUUUGGCCUGAUCGAGAGGUUCCUUUACAUAUGAAUUUAUAUAGAAGCCAAAUGGUUCAAUUAUUCAAAUACUCAUUAACCCAAAUUGUUGGAGGUACGUUUUUCCCCCCUUAUAUUUCCUGGGCUUUUCCACCCCAAGAACCGAAAAUUUACUCUAUGCCGUGCCAUGUGCGCAUCUAAAAUGCUUUUAUUGAUUCACUGGGCUUUGUCUAUAUAAAUCAGGGUUCCAUAUAACACACAUGUGUGUGUGAGCAUUAUAUGGAUUUUCUUUUUGGGGGCAUUGGUGUUUGUGAUUAUACGCCGUAUAUGCAUUAAUUUCCAUACGAUACAAUGAAUCCUAUUCCAGUAUUUUUUGCUUUUUUUCCUUUUGAUUUUUCACAGUCGUUUUUGUUUUGAUAUUUUAGCGAUUUCUCUUUGACGUCAAUUGCUGAAUGGAUUUUGAGGCUGUAUAAUUCGUUUGUUAUGGGUUUUCGUUUGGGUUUAUUGAUUGGCAAGAGAGAGAGAGAGGGGCCAAGGAAUGCAUUGUUGAUGCGAUAAAAUGAGGUUUAUACUGGAGAGGUAUUUAAUCCAAAACUAAGGGAAAUGUUUUAAUAUUAUAAGGUUUUAUUUUGGUAUAUAAUUAAGGUGUUAAAUAAUUUGUAUUUUUCAUUCUAAAAAUUCUUCUUACAAAAUUUUGAUUAUAAGUCUAAAGAAUAUGAAAGAUUUUUUUAAUGUAAUUCUUAUUUAUAUCUCUUUAUAAAAAAGGCCAUCACGUUAUCCUAAAGAUAUUCCUUCAUUUAAUAGGUAUCUUUACCUGCGACUUGACCUUCCUCAUAUAAUUUUUUUUGACUCACUCUUAAUCAUAAUUCGCACCCUGCCACCACAUAUGGCAGAAAUCGAAAAAAAGUCUCAUGUGCUCCCUCCAGUUUAUCAUCACUCUUGGUUACUAUAUAUUUUAGGCCUUCUACAUAUUUUCUAGGCCUUUUAGCUGUUAUCUCUCACUCUGCCUGCCAUUGUUCCUGUCUAAUUGCUGAGUUAACUUAUCUUGACUUGGCCCGUAAAUUGUCUGCCCACAGUGAACAAUAUACCAAAUACGAAAUACGAAAUAAGUACAAUGUGUGUGCUAUGUGUGCCAUUCUGAUAAAAAAGAAAAAAAUCUAGUCACGAUAAGCGUUCUUUGAUAGCAACCGAGUAUUAUGACUAAGUGAUACGUUUCACUGCCUGAUAAACAAUAUUAUUUCUGUCUCUUUCUAGGGCACUUUUUGGGAUUUUUGUUAUUGUUGUGUAUUUAAUUCACCACAGGUGUUGAGUGGGCCGAAUGUGAGCCGAUUGUCGUUGAGAGCUUAAGUUUUAUCUUAUCUGGGCUGUGGGGACCACAACAAAAGCAUUCCAAAUUGAACCAUUUUUCUCCCCUUUGCUAUCUGAAACUACUUACUUACUCCCACUACUGGAAAACAUGUGCACAUUUUGAUAGAUUACGACGUUAACGCGUUCGUUUUUUUUUUGUCGUGACUUACAUAAAAAAAUACAGUGCAUACAGUACAUUGCAAAAGGGGUAAGAGAAUUGUUUAAGAAAAUUAUAAUAAAAAAUAUAAAUGGUUUAUAAAGGCAAGUUAGUGAUGAAAAGUGAUCUAUAAUCUUACAAAAAGUCAGAGCGAUCUCCUCUUCCUUUUCACUUUAAAAUUCCCAAGUGCAAAUUCAGCGACAAAUUCCUUUAGCUUCUUCGCUUUUAACUACAACUUUUCACAAGAUUCUGCGUGUUUCCGACCGAAAAAUAUCAACCAGCUAUAUAAAAUAAAUAAAAACUAUAAUUAUACAAACGAAAGAUUUUAGAAAAAAUUGUAACAGAUUUCCUUAGUUCUAGAGAAAAUAUCCAACCUAUUUUUAAUUCUAACUAAAAUCUCCUCACUGUACUAACCCACCCACAUUGCCUUAAAUGACUGAAACGUACUUUAUAUUAGAGCUCGUAAAAGCCUACGUGUAUAUUUUUGGUCCGCAUAUACAUACAUUAUAGUUGAUGAAUAAAUGCGUUUCCCCUGCGGCGAUUAGAUAAGGCAAAAGGCUGAUAAGAAAAAUUGGACAUGUGAGUAACGUUGCCUCAUACGAAAGUCCAGAAAAAAUAACGGGGGGAAAUAGGGGAAAGCACUGCGGAAUGUUUGCAAAGGCAAAUAUUUAAAUGCUGCGCAAUGGAAAAAAAGAAACAAGAAAAUUAAGAAUCUUUUACAAAAUAAAUACAAAAAACCCCUUCCAAGUUAGUCAGAGUGAAGUAAUAAUAUUAUAUCACGACCACUCGUUAAGUUUGUCUCGCAAAUUUUGUAGUUUAUUGGCUGUUGUGUUCAGCUAUUGAUAAGCUCUGGAGGAAACUUUGUCAAGGUUGUUCGGUGACCUUCAAGCGUGGACUGAUUAGUAAAAAAAAAUUAACCGAGUUUAGGAAUGCCAUAUACUGUUAAAUUAGAAUUUAUUUAAAAGUAUAAAUAAAACAAAAGGCUUGGAAAUUAACAGGUGUUUCAAGUGAAUUGGAACUAAGCUACUCUUUAUUUGUAAUUAAUUUUUGUAAGUCUUUCAUUUUGGUUUUAAAAUAAAGUAUCUUCUAGUCGAGGAAUCUUCUAGUCGAAGUAUCUUCUAGUCGAGGUAUCUUCUAGUCGAAGUAUCUUCUUGUCGAAGUAUCUUCUAGUUCCAAGUGAAAGCAAACUUAACCCCUGAGAUAUUCUUCUAGUGAUUGUCUCAAUUAAUCUUUUAAGCUUUGGGGGAUUUUUACAUUUAGUUUUUUUUUUCUGUUUCUUUUGCUUCUUUGUUUGUCCAUUCUAUUUCGGGUUCUGUCUUAGUUUAUUUGUUUAUUUUUAUUUAUCUCUCUUUUUUUUGGGGGGUUCUGAGUCGUGCCUAGCACCGGAUUUUGUAUUGUUAAUUUGCUGCCCAGCGAAAUUAUAAAUGUAAAUAAAUAAUUUCACAAAUUUGAAUAUAAUUUGCCAUUAAAUAUGGCAAAUAAAUUUAGUUUAGAGCUUUAAUUAGUUAAAGGGAAAUAUAAUACAAUACAAGAGCUAAAAGAACAUUUUUUUUCUUAGCAGAAUUUUUCCUUUUUGGCGCUUUUCCUUUUCUGGACUUUGGCUGCUUGCUGCUCAUAAAAGGCUCAAUCAGCAUGGCAAACAGCCCAUAUAUACAAAUCAUAAUGGCCAUAUAUAAAUAUAUAUAUAUAAACUAUAUAAGCCUCUGUCUCUCUGUUGGCGAUGAACAAACACAUGACAAAGCAAAUGCUGAACGCUUUUGAGCCGAGUUCUUUGGUUAUGCUAACCAUACAAAGCCGUGCAUAUAUAUAUUCCCAUUUAUAUAUAUAUUUCUACAGAUUUAUAUAUAUAUUUGUAUAUAUAUAUUUGGAGGAGCCACAAAAGACCAAGGCAAACACACAAGCGGAAAGAAUGACAGAAGAACAGACAGAGGAAAUCUCCAUAUAAACAGCAGACCCCCACAGUAUAUACCAUAUAUUGUAUGUAUAUAUCUCCAGCCAGCUCUGUGCCUACAAUAACAACAAUAACAAAUGUACCUGUUGUGCGUUGAGAAAAAGCAAAAGAAACACACAGACAGAAAAAAAAGAAAUAUAAAGAAACGACGGAGCAGCGAGCUAAAAUGUUAUUCAAGUUACCUUUGAGUCUCGAAACCGGUUGGCGGCUCACUCGUAGCAGCACGUAGGUGCUGCCAACUCACUGUGCGAUGAACAAGAAAAAUAAAAGAGAAAAAAUAAUAAUACUGCAGAAAAAAAAAUAUAAUAAAAAAAAAUUAAAACAAAAUGCGUUCAUAUGUCUGGCCGAAAGGCGAUGGGUUCAGGUUAAUUAAAAAAAAGCAUAUUAGGCGUGCAAAAAAGUUAGAAUUAAAUAUUUUAAGCUUAUGAAAUGUUUGGAGGGUUAUGAUAAAAGGUUUUACUUAGUUUUCAGGGUUUGUUUUAAUACAAAAUGAGCUAGAAAUGAGUCAGAUUUUUAUAUAAACACAAAAUAAUUAGUUUACAAAACAAAAACAAAAAUAUAUUAGGCACUUUUUUUUUAUUAUAUAUUUAUCUAAGAAUUAUUGUGGGGCAUCUUUGUCAUUUAAAAACAAAAUUUUAAGCUAUUAAAAACUGCACCUUUAGAGACAAUUGUGUAUAAAAUAACAAUUAUAUUUGAAUUAUAAAAU